rnacentral:rRNA from 2 species
GGGGGAUAAAUUAAUAAAGUAUAAAUAAUAAAAAAAUUUUUAAUAUUAAAAUAUUUUAAUGGGGGUUAAAGUAUAUUUAAUAGAAAAAAUAAAAAAAUUUAUAGAAAAUUAGUAUUGUAAAAGAAAUUUGAAAUAUAUUGAAAAUAAAUUUAUUUAAAAGUAAAUUUAAUUUAUUGUAUCUUGUGUAUCAGAGUUUAUUAAUAAUAAUUUUUAUAUAUAAAAUUUUCUCGAAUUUAAAAGAGAUAAUUAAUUAUUAAAAUUAAUGUUGUAUAAUUAUUUUAAAUAAUUAAUUGGAAAUGAGAUGUUAAUCGUUUUUAAAUAUAUCUAGUUUUUUUAGAAAAAAAUUUAAUUUUAAAUUUUAAAAAGAAUAUAAUUUUAAUUAAUUAAAAUUAUAUUUUUAAAAUUAAAUAUUUUAAGGGAUAAGCUUUAAAAUAAAUUUUUAUAAUAAAUUUUAACAAUAAUUAAAAUUUUUAAAAUUUAUAUUGUUUAUAAAUUAUAAUUUUUUAUAAAUAAUUUUAAUUAAAUUAAAAUUUUAAAUUUAUUUAAUUUUUUAUUAAAAAAUAUUUUUUAAUAAUUAAAAUUUAGAUAUAAUGAUAAAAUUAGUAUAUAAAUGAAUAAAUAAUAUAGUUUAUUAUUUGAUAAUUUAAUAAAAGGAAUUCGGCAAAAAUUAUAUUCACUUGUUUAUCAAAAACAUGUCUUUUUGGUUAAUAAUUUAAAGUCUAAUCUGCCCACUGAUAAUAUAUUAAAGGGCUGCAGUAUUUUGACUGUACAAAGGUAGCAUAAUCAUUAGUCUCUUAAUUGGUGACUUGUAUGAAAGAUUUGAUGAGAUAUAUACUGUCUCUUUUUAAUUUAUAAAAUUUAAUUUUUUAGUUAAAAAGCUAAAAUAUAUUUAAAAGACGAGAAGACCCUAUAGAGUUUUAUAUUUAUAUAAAUUAAAAUUUUUUAUAAACUUUAAAAUUUUAAUUUAUAUAAAUAUUUUGUUGGGGUGAUAAAAAAAUUAAAAUAACUUUUUUUAUAAUUUUACAUUAAUAAAUGAAUAAAUGAUCCGUAAUUUACGAUUAUAAGAUAAAAUUACCUUAGGGAUAACAGCGUAAUUUUUUUUUUUAGUUCAAAUAAGAAAAAAAGUUUGCGACCUCGAUGUUGGAUUAAGAUAAAAUUUAAAUGCAAAAGUUUAAAAUUUUUGAUCUGUUCGAUCAUUAAAAUCUUACAUGAUCUGAGUUCAAACCGGUGUAAGCCAGGUUGGUUUCUAUCUUUAGAUUAAUAAAAUAUUUUAGUACGAAAGGAUCAAAUAUUUAAAAUAGUUUUAUUUAAAAGAAUUUUAAUAAUAGUAUAUUUUUAAAUAUG